rnacentral:rRNA from 1 species
GACGUAGGUGGCGAACGUUAUCCGGAAUUAUUGGGCGUAAAGAGCGUGUAGGCGGCCUGACAGGUCUGCUGUGAAAACUCGAGGCUCAACCUCGAGAUGUCGGCGGAAACCGUCUGGCUAGAGUCCGGAAGAGGAGAGUGGAAUUCCUGGUGUAGCGGUGAAAUGCGCAGAUAUCAGGAAGAACACCUAUGGCGAAGGCAGCUCUCUGGGACGGUACUGACGCUGAGACGCGAAAGCGUGGGGAGCGAACAGG